GGCGACAUAGCUCAGUUGGGAGAGCGCACGACUGAAGAUCGUGCGGUCCCUGGUUCGAUCCCGGGUGGCGCCA
rnacentral:tRNA from 21 species